UUUACUGAACACGUUAAACACUACACUAUUUUCAACUUCGUACAACAGUCUUGAGUUGUUACGUGAUGUUAAAUAAAAGUCGUAAACAUGUCGGUCUAUCCCGUACGACGUGAACGAGGCAUCGGACGCAAGCAUUUAAAAGGAUUUCUGUCAAGCUGAACGUAUUUCCGAAAGCUGUAUGCUAACAUCGCGUUUUCACGAAUUUCCCAAACAGAGCUAACAAGUGUAAAAAUCGGCACAAUAGAAUGGGACUCGAUUUAUGAGAAAAAUCCCAGAAUUUCCUCUUUAAUAGGUUUUUUUCUUCUUCUUUCUUUCAGGUGUAAAAUUCAGCAGAUACGAUAAAAGUUAAAAAUAGCUGUCCGAGUUAGCUGUCGGAGUUAGCCCUCCUGUCUGUUUGAAGCUCUUUGCUUUACUGAGUUGCAUGUCGGUUUAAUAGUGUACAGAGACACGACGCCAGACUCUGGAGUCUGAGAACCCACAGAAAGCAAACAUGGCUGAUGAUCAGUUUUUGUAUUCUUCUUCUUCUUCUUCUCUUUCCCUUCUCGCUUCCCUUUAUCCCUCCAUCUCUGCGUACUAGUAAAAAAAAAAGAAAAAAAAAAAAGUCUGGGUCUUAUGAUUUCCCUGCAUCAGCAAAGGCAAGUGAAGGGGUCGUGUCCACACUUCCUGUGUCCGCCUUACUCCAGAGCGUUUCCAAGCGCCGGAGCGUCCACGUCGUCUGCUUUUGGGUGUUUUUAAAAAGUGGAGGAAAAAAAAGAAAAAUGGAGAAAUAAAAAAAAAAUUAAAAAAAAAAAAAGGUUGUAAAAUGUCAUCAGCCUUGUGUACAGUGGGAUGCUUUUCAAAAACCAACACCACAGAACCAGAAACCAGAAACCAUAGGAUAACAGACUAAAAAUGUACAAUACUGUUUAUUCAAGUGUUUGCUUUUACUUUUUCGUAAAAUUCAAUAUAAUAAAUAAGUUAAUGGCUGCUG